AGAGAUGGUAAUUUGCCAAUUACAGUUUUGUUCUAGUAUUGGAAUGAGCUUAAAGGGCCAGUCACAAAUUCCUCUUUUGAAAACUUUCCAAAAACAAAACCCAUUUAGUGACUAUUUUCUCUUCUUUCUGCAGUGCAUGCUGUGGAAAUUCAUGAUCUGCAGAGCUUUGGACUAGACAACAUCAACAUGACGCAUUUCAUCAAACAUCUUUCAUUCGGCAAAGACUACCCUGGAAUUAUCAAUCCUUUAGAUGGUACUAAUGUAGCAGCACCUCAAGGUAAGGGUAUGUCAUUACUUUAAAGUAAAAAUCAGCAUGAAUGGCUGAGAACAUAAUUUCCAGAAUUAAAGAGCCCUUUAUCUUCUCCGUGGUCAUUUCAUUGUCAGCCCUCCACAGUCAGCAGAAAGGUCAC